rnacentral:rRNA from 1 species
CUACGGGGGGCUGCAGUGGGGAAUAUUGCACAAUGGACGAAAGUCUGAUGCAGCAACGCCGCGUGGAGGAUGACACAUUUCGGUGCGUAAACUCCUUUUAUAUCCCAAGAUAAUGACGGUAGGAUAUGAAUAAGCGCCGGCUAACUCCGUGCCAGCAGCCGCGGUAAUACGGAGGGCGCAAGCGUUACUCGGAAUCACUGGGCGUAAAGAGCGUGUAGGCGGAUAGAUAAGUUGGGAGUGAAAUCCUAUGGCUUAACCAUAGAAUUGCUUCCAAAACUGUCUAUCUAGAAUAUGGGAGAGGUAGAUGGAAUUUCUGGUGUAGGGGUAAAAUCCGUAGAGAUCAGAAGGAAUACCGAUUGCGAAGGCGAUCUACUGGAACAUUAUUGACGCUGAGACGCGAAAGCGUGGGGAGCAAACAGGAUUAGAUACCCCUGUAGUC